CCUACGGGAGGCAGCAGUUAGGAAUAUUGGGCAAUGGAGGAAACUCUGACCCAGCAACGCCGCGUGAAGGAAGAAGGUUUUCGGAUUGUAAACUUCUGAUCUGUGGGACGAAGAAAGUGACGGUACCACAGGAGAAAGCCACGGCUAACUACGUGCCAGCAGCCGCGGUAAUACGUAGGUGGCGAGCGUUGUCCGGAAUAACUGGGUGUAAAGGGCGUGCAGCCGGGAAGACAAGUCAGAUGUGAAAUCCCGCGGCUCAACCGCGGAACUGCAUUUGAAACUGUUUUUCUUGAGUACCGGAGAGGUCAUCGGAAUUCCUUGUGUAGCGGUGAAAUGCGUAGAUAUAAGGAAGAACACCAGUGGCGAAGGCGGAUGACUGGACGGCAACUGACGGUGAGGCGCGAAAGCGUGGGGAGCAAACAGGAUUAGAUACCCGGGUAGUC
rnacentral:rRNA from 1 species